GCAAAAGUUUCUGAUAGGCGGAGCAUCUAGUUUCAAUUUCCUUUUGCAGCAAGUUCUUUCCUGCACUAAUCACAAUUCUUGGAAGAGGAGAACUGGACGUUGUGAACAGAUUAGCUGGUAAAUGUCCUCAUAAAAGAUCCAAAAAAUGAGACUUCUAGCAAAGAUUAUUUGCCUUAUGUUAUGGGCUAUUUGUGUAGCAGAAGAUUGCAAUGAACUUCCUCCAAGAAGAAAUACAGAAAUUCUGAUAGGUUCCUGGUCUGACCAAACAUAUCCAGAAGGCACUCAGGCUAUCUAUAAAUGCCGCCCUGGAUAUAGAUCUCUUGGAAAUAUAAUAAUGGUAUGCAGGAAGGGAGAAUGGGUUGCUCUUAAUCCAUUAAGGAAAUGUCAGAAAAGGCCCUGUGGACAUCCUGGAGAUACUCCCUUUGGUACUUUUACCCUCACAGGAGGAAAUGUGUUUGAAUAUGGUGUAAAAGCUGUGUAUACAUGUAAUGAGGGGUAUCAAUUGCUAGGUGAGAUUAAUUACCGUGAAUGUGACACAGAUGGAUGGACCAAUGAUAUUCCUAUAUGUGAAGUUGUGAAGUGUUUACCAGUGACAGCACCAGAGAAUGGAAAAAUUGUCAGUAGUGCAAUGGAACCAGAUCGGGAAUACCGUUUUGGACAAGCAGUACGGUUUGUAUGUAACUCAGGCUACAAGAUUGAAGGAGAUGAAGAAAUGCAUUGUUCAGACGAUGGUUUUUGGAGUAAAGAGAAACCAAAGUGUGUGGAAAUUUCAUGCAAAUCCCCAGAUGUUAUAAAUGGAUCUCCUAUAUCUCAGAAGAUUAUUUAUAAGGAGAGUGAACGAUUUCAAUAUAAAUGUAACAUGGGUUAUGAAUACAGUGAAAGAGGAGAUGCUGUAUGCACUGAAUCUGGAUGGCGUCCAUUGCCUUCAUGUGAAGAAAAAACAUGUGGUAAUCCUUAUAUUCCAAAUGGUGACUACUCACCUUUAAGGAUUAAACACAGAACUGGAGAUGAAAUCACGUACCAGUGUAGAAAUGGUUUUUAUCCUGCAACCCAGGGAAAUACAGCAAAAUGCACAAGUACUGGCUGGAUACCUGCUCCAAGAUGUACCUUGAAACCUUGUGAUUAUCCAAACAUUAAACAUGGAGGUCUAUAUCAUGAGAAUAUGCGUAGACCAUACUUUCCAGUAGCUGUAGGAAAAUAUUACUCCUAUUACUGUGAUGAACGUUUUGAGACUGCAUCAGGAAGUUACUGGGAUUACAUUCAUUGCACACAAGAUGGAUGGUCGCCAGCAGUACCAUGCCUCAGAAAAUGUUAUUUUCCUUAUUUGGAAAAUGGAUAUAAUCAAAAUUAUGGAAGAAAGUUUGUACAGGGUAAAUCUAUAGACGUUGCCUGCCAUCCUGGCUACGCUCUUCCAAAAGAGCAGACCACAGUUACAUGUAUGGAGAAUGGCUGGUCUCCUACUCCCAGAUGCGUCCGUGUCAAAACAUGUUCCAAAUCAAGUAUAGAUAUUGAGAAUGGGUUUAUUUCUGAAUCUCAGUAUACAUAUGCCUUAAAAGAAAAAGCAAAAUAUCAAUGCAAACUAGGAUAUGUAACAGCAGAUGGUGAAACAUCAGGAUCAAUUACAUGUGGGAAAGAUGGAUGGUCAGCUCAACCCACGUGCAUUAAAUCUUGUGAUAUCCCAGUAUUUAUGAAUGCCAGAACUAAAAAUGACUUCACAUGGUUUAAGCUGAAUGACACAUUGGACUAUGAAUGCCAUGAUGGUUAUGAAAGCAAUACUGGAAGCACCACUGGUUCCAUAGUGUGUGGUUACAAUGGUUGGUCUGAUUUACCCAUAUGUUAUGAAAGAGAAUGCGAACUUCCUAAAAUAGAUGUACACUUAGUUCCUGAUCGCAAGAAAGACCAGUAUAAAGUUGGAGAGGUGUUGAAAUUCUCCUGCAAACCAGGAUUUACAAUAGUUGGACCUAAUUCCGUUCAGUGCUACCACUUUGGAUUGUCUCCUGACCUCCCAAUAUGUAAAGAGCAAGUACAAUCAUGUGGUCCACCUCCUGAACUCCUCAAUGGGGAUGUUAAGGAGAAAACGAAAGAAGAAUAUGGACACAGUGAAGUGGUGGAAUAUUAUUGCAAUCCUAGAUUUCUAAUGAAGGGACCUAAUAAAAUUCAAUGUGUUGAUGGAGAGUGGACAACUUUACCAGUGUGUAUUGUGGAGGAGAGUACCUGUGGAGAUAUACCUGAACUUGAACAUGGCUGGGCCCAGCUUUCUUCCCCUCCUUAUUACUAUGGAGAUUCAGUGGAGUUCAAUUGCUCAGAAUCAUUUACAAUGAUUGGGCACAGAUCAAUUACGUGUAUUCAUGGAGUAUGGACCCAACUUCCUCAGUGUGUGGCAAUAGAUAAACUUAAGAAGUGCAAAUCAUCAAAUUUAAUUAUACUUGAGGAACAUUUAAAAAACAAGAAGGAAUUCGAUCAUAAUUCUAACAUAAGGUACAGAUGUAGAGGAAAAGAAGGAUGGAUACACACAGUCUGCAUAAAUGGAAGAUGGGAUCCAGAAGUGAACUGCUCAAUGGCACAAAUACAAUUAUGCCCACCUCCACCUCAGAUUCCCAAUUCUCACAAUAUGACAACCACACUGAAUUAUCGGGAUGGAGAGAAAGUAUCUGUUCUUUGCCAAGAAAAUUUUCUAAUUCAGGAAGGAGAAGAAAUUGCAUGCAAAGAUGGAAGAUGGCAGUCAAUACCACUCUGUGUUGAAAAAAUUCCAUGUUCACAACCACCUCAGAUAGAACACGGAACCAUUAAUUCAUCCAGGUCUUCACAAGAAAGUUAUGCACAUGGGACUAAAUUGAGUUAUACUUGUGAGGGUGGUUUCAGGCUAUCUGAAGAAAAUGAAACAACAUGCUACAUGGGAAAAUGGAGUUCUCCACCUCAGUGUGAAGGCCUUCCUUGUAAAUCUCCACCUGAGAUUUCUCAUGGUGUUGUAGCUCACAUGUCAGACAGUUAUCAGUAUGGAGAAGAAGUUACGUACAAAUGUUUUGAAGGUUUUGGAAUUGAUGGGCCUGCAAUUGCAAAAUGCUUAGGAGAAAAAUGGUCUCACCCUCCAUCAUGCAUAAGUAUGGUGCAUUGAAUUUUAUUAUAUGUAUGAUAAAUAUUCUUCAUUCAAAGUAAACAGAUUGUCUCAGUUUACCUAGCUUUGAAAAUGCCAUACCCAUGGGAGAGAAGAAGGAUUUGUAUAAGGCGGGUGAGCAAGUGACUUACACUUGUGCAACAUAUUACAAAAUGGAUGGAGCCAGUAAUGUAACAUGCAUUAAUAGCAGAUGGACAGGAAGGCCAACAUGCAGAGACACUUCCUGUGUGAAUCCGCCCACAGUACAAAAUGCUUAUAUAGUGUCGAGACAGAUGAGUAAAUAUCCAUCUGGUGAGAGAGUACGUUAUCAAUGUAGGAGCCCUUAUGAAAUGUUUGGGGAUGAAGAAGUGAUGUGUUUAAAUGGAAACUGGACAGAACCACCUCAAUGCAAAGAUUCUACGGGAAAAUGUGGGCCCCCUCCACCUAUUGACAAUGGGGACAUUACUUCAUUCCCGUUGUCAGUAUAUGCUCCAGCUUCAACAGUUGAGUACCAAUGCCAGAACUUGUAUGAACUUGAGGGUAACAAGCGAAUAACAUGUAGAAAUGGACAAUGGUCAGAACCACCAAAAUGCUUACAUCCGUGUGUAAUAUCCCGAGAAAUUAUGGAAAAGUAUAACAUAGCAUUAAGGUGGAAAGCCAAAGAGAAGAUUUAUUCGAGAACAGGUGAAUCAGUUGAAUUUAUAUGUAAAAAUGGAUAUCGUCUUUCACCAAGUUCUCACGCAUUGCGAACAGCAUGUUGGGAUGGGAAACUGGAGUAUCCAACUUGUGUAAAAAGAUAGAAUCAAUCAUAAAAUGCACACCUUUAUUCAGAACUUUAGUAUUAAAUCAGUUCUUAAUUUCAUUUUUUAAGUAUUGUUUUACUCCUUUUUAUUCAUAUGUAAAAUUUUGGAUUAAUUUGUGAAAAUGUAAUUAUAAGCUGAGACCGGUGGCUCUCUUCUUAAAAGCACCAUAUUAAAACUUGGAAAACUAA